rnacentral:rRNA from 1 species
AGCAGCCGCGGUAAUUCCAGCUCCAAUAGCGUAUAUUAAAGUUGUUGCAGUUAAAAAGCUCGUAGUUGAAUUUCGGGGUUCUACCGUUGGUCGGGCUUUGUCUGUACUGGCGUGUAGAAUUUCUACCUUCUGGGGAACUAUCAUGUUAUUAAUUUAGCGUGGUAGGAAACCAGGACCUUUACCUUGAAAAAAUUAGAGUGUUCAAAGCAGGCUUAUGUCUGAAUACAUUAGCAUGGAAUAAUAAAAUAGGACGGUGGUCCUGUUUUGUUGGUUUCUGAAUCACCGUAAUGAUUAAUAGGGAUAGUUGGGGGCAUUAGUAUUCAAUUGUCAGAGUGAAAUUCUUGGAUUUAUUGAAGACUAACUACUGCGAAAGCAUUUGCCAAGGAUGUUUCAUUAAUCAAGAACGAAGUUAGGGAUCGAAGACGAUCAGAUACCGUCGUAGUCUUAACCAUAAACUAUGCCGACUAGGGAUCGGACGAUGUUAACUUUUCUUGACUCGUUCGCGCCUUACGGGAACCAA